AUUGAACGCUGGCGGAAUGCUUUACACAUGCAAGUCGAACGGUAGAGGGGGCAACCCCUCGAGAGUGGCGAACGGGUGAGUAAUAUAUCGGAACGUGCCCAGUCGUGGGGGAUAACGUAGCGAAAGUUACGCUAAUACCGCAUACGAUCUAAGGAUGAAAGCGGGGGAUCGCAAGACCUCGCGCGAUUGGAGCGGCCGAUAUCAGAUUAGGUAGUUGGGGGGGUAAAGGCUCACCAAGCCAACGAUCUGUAGCUGGUCUGAGAGGACGACCAGCCACACUGUAACGGGGGAACGGUCCAGACUCCUACGGGAGGCAGCAGUGGGGAAUUUUGGACAAUGGACGCAAGUCUGAUCCAGCCAUUCCGCGUGCAGGAUGAAGGCCCUCGGGUUGUAAACUGCUUUUGUACGGAACGAAAAGGUCUCUCUUAAUACGGGGGGCUCAUGACGGUACCGUAAGAAUAAGCACCGGCUAACUACGUGCCAGCAGCCGCCGUAA
rnacentral:rRNA from 1 species